rnacentral:lncRNA from 1 species
UUCCGAAUUUUCCGGCAGCGACAACAGGACAGGACGGGAAGGUCAUGAAGGAUCUCUGUUCACCAUUCGAUCAGACCAGGAAGGCAGCUGAUCAGGAAUGUGCAGUCACAAAGAAAUGAUCAAUGAGUCAUGGAUCUGGCAUUUUUUAUUCUAAGAGGAAAAAUAGCUGGGAGCAUCGAUUGCUGAGGAAAAGGAGAUGGGAAUAUUAAUGGCAAUCAUUAGAUGAUUUGAUAUGAAUCAGGUGACUCCAAGCAGACUGUCUGCAGCUGUGGGAAAUGAUUAGUACUUGACAAAGUGUAGUUGAGGUAUGUAUGGCAAAUAAAUCAUGUUUCUGUAAAUUUGGAAUCAUUUCUGCAAGGAAUAAAACAGUAUUCUUGAUACUAACAGCGA